GGGCCUGUAGCUCAGGUGGUAGAGCAACUGACUUUUAAUCAGUGGGUCGAAGGUUCGAAUCCUUCCGGGCUCACCA
rnacentral:tRNA from 1 species